rnacentral:rRNA from 1 species
UACGUAGGGGGCGAGCGUUGUCCGGAUUUAUUGGGCGUAAAGAGCGUGUAGGCGGUUCGGUAAGUCUGUCGUGAAAUCCUGAGGCUCAACCUCGGGCGUGCGAUGGAUACUGCCGGGCUAGAGGGUAGUAGAGGCGAGUGGAAUUCCCGGUGUAGCGGUGAAAUGCGCAGAUAUCAGGAAGAACACCUAUGGCGAAGGCAGCUCUCUGGGACGGUACUGACGCUGAGACGCGAAAGCGUGGGGAGCGAACAGG